CAAUAGCGUAUAUUAAAGUUGUUGCAGUUAAAAAGCUCGUAGUUGGAUUUCUGAUCGAGACAUCAGGUCGGGUCCGAGAGGAUCAUGUACUUUGAUUUUGUUUUGAUCAUCCUUGGGGAGAGCAUUUCUGGCAUUCAGUUGUCGGGAUUGGGAUCCUCAUCGUUUACUGUGAAAAAAUUAGAGUGUUCAAAGCAGGCCUCGGCCUCUGAAUACAUUAGCAUGGAAUAAUAAGAUAGGACUUUGGUGGUCUAUUUUGUUGGUUUGCACGCCAAAGUAAUGAUUAAUAGGGAUAGUUGGGGGUAUUCGUAUUCAAUUGCCAGAGGUGAAAUUCUUGGAUUUAUGGAAGACGAACUAUUGCGAAAGCAUUUACCAAGGAUGUUUUCAUUAA
rnacentral:rRNA from 1 species